AAGGCUGCUUUUCUUUACCCUUUUUACCCUUCUUCUCAAUGGCAGGAACUUCAUUUGGUAUAAGUUCAGCAAUUGAUUUCCAGUAGGUUUUGUUAGCCUCUGCAUGGAAUUUUUCUCUGCUUUCCAAAGCCAACUGUAGAACACGAUUCAAAUUACAAAUUCCGUUUCAACAGAAUAAAAUUUCAGAUAAAGUGGUCCGUUCAACAUAGCGUAAGAGCAAACAAACUCUCGAAUUCGACUCUAGCCCGUCGUCCAUUUAUAAACAUUCUCCACAUGUUAGGCCUUCGACCAAAAUGAAUCUAGCCUGCACAUUAAGGUGUGUUGAAGACUACUAAAUUUAAAUAAUUAAACCUUUCUCUUAUCUAAUAGCUUGAAACUUGAGGUGGUUCACGACUUCCUACGACUAAUUUGGAUGUGUUGCCUACUAAAGUGAACAACAA